GCCGACAUAGCUCAGGGGCAGAGCAAGUGUUUCGUAAACACUAGGUCGCAGGUUCGAUUCCUGCUGUCGGCU
rfam:Microgenomates (Levybacteria) bacterium GW2011_GWB1_36_18 TS07_C0001, whole genome shotgun sequence.